GUCCCCAUCGUCUAGAGGCCUAGGACAUCGCCCUUUCACGGCGGCAACAGGGGUUCGAAUCCCCUUGGGGACG
rnacentral:tRNA from 4 species